GACGAACGCUGGCGGCGUGCUUAACACAUGCAAGUCGAGCGGUAAGGCCCUUUCGGGGGUACACGAGCGGCGAACGGGUGAGUAACACGUGGGUGACCUGCCCUCAGCUCUGGGAUAAGCCUGGGAAACCGGGUCUAAUACUGGAUAUGACUCCAUGACGCAUGUUGUGGGGUGGAAAGCCUUGUGCGGCUGAGGAUGGGCCCGCGGCCUAUCAGCUUGUUGGUGGGGUGAGGCCUACCAAGGCGACGACGGGUAGCCGGCCUGAGAGGGCGACCGGCCACACUGGGACUGAGACACGGCCCAGACUCCUACGGGAGGCAGCAGUGGGGAAUCUUGCGCAAUGGGCGAAAGCCUGACGCAGCGACGCCGCGUGAGGGAUGACGGCCUGUGUAAC
rnacentral:rRNA from 1 species